GAGUUUGAUCCUGGCUCAGAACGAACGCUGGCGGCAGGCCUAACACAUGCAAGUCGAACGAAGUCUUCGGACUUAGUGGCAGACGGGUGAGUAACGCGUGGGAACCUACCUGGAGGUUCGGAAUAACUCGGGGAAACUCGGGCUAAUACCGGAUACGCCCUUACGGGGAAAGAUUUAUCGCCUUUAGAUGGGCCCGCGUUGGAUUAGCUUGUUGGUGAGGUAAAAGCUCACCAAGGCGACGAUCCAUAGCUGGUCUGAGAGGAUGAUCAGCCACACUGGGACUGAGACACGGCCAGACUCCUACGGGAGGCAGCAGUGAGGAAUAUUCGGCAAUGGGCGCAAGCCUGACCGAGCCAUGCCGCGUGAGUGAAGAAGGCCCUAGGGUUGUAAAGCUCUUUCACCGAUGAAGAUAAUGACGGUAGUCGGAGAAGAAGCCCCGGCUAACUUCGUGCCAGCAGCCGCGGUAAUACGAAGGGGGCUAGCGUUGUUCGGAAUUACUGGGCGUAAAGCGGCCACGGUAGGGCGGAUUGUUUAGUCAGGGGGUGAAAUCCCGGGGGCUCAACCCCGGGGAACUGCCUCUGGAUACUGGCAAUCUC
rnacentral:rRNA from 1 species